CUGGUGUGGGCUGUGUGAGGAGAUGCUGUGGGGGACCCGACCCUGGUGUGGGCUGUAGGAGGAGAUGCUCUGGGGGACCCACCCGGGGUGUCAGCUGUCAGGAGAUGCUCUGGGCUUCCCAGGAAAAGUGCUUGUAGCAGCUGUCUAGGCCGUGGUGCCUGGCCCAGAGCUGCCAGGUCUUGGGUGCUCCCGUUCGCUGCUGGUCAGUGGCAUAUAGAAGGCAACUCUUCAUGUAACAACUUGGGAAAGUAACCUUGAGCAUCCCCUCAACCAGGAAUACUCACCCUGGCCCAGGCCUCUCCCAGAGCUGCUGCCUCUUCCCGGGGUCUCUGGCCUGCCCUAUCCUAUCUCUUGCGGCUGCUGUGGGUUUACCAUGUAUGGUUGUGGACAGCCUCCUGGGGCCCUGCCUGGCUCGGGCUCACAGGCACACUGCCCUCCUUCCACCGUUCAGUCCUGCCCCAAGGAUGCCCCCUGCUCAGGUUCAACAACACUCCAGCAGCAGCAUUCCGUGACCUUCGAGUUACCCAGGAAAGCGUCCACUGGCAAGGUGGCUCCUUCACUACCUUUUGGAGCUCAGCCACUUCUGGGGACCAGACACAGGUGACACGUUAUCACAUCCAGACGGACUGCUGGGAACUUUAAAACUGCCGUCUUCUGUUUUAUUGACAGGUGCCCGUCCAGCAGAAGGCCCAGGAGGGCAGUGGGGUGGGCAGGGCUGGCGGAGCUGGGCCAGUCAGUGCCAUCUUGGGGAAGAGCACAUCCUGAACAGCCUUGCCAAGCAGCCGACCAGUGGGAGGACAGGGGAGGCCCGGCCCAAGCUGCGGAGAAGCUGUGUCUGCCGCAACAGUUAACCACAAGCCUCUGAUGACACAGGGCCACAGAGCUGGUCACUCAACAUCUGACACAAAGAAGGGUGAGGUGAAACACACGCGAAGGGCAUCGCUGUGCCGUGGGCCAGGGCCAGUGUGCAGGAGUGUGUUGGGUGGGUCUACGUGAUCAUAAGGGCUACUAAUCACCAGGGCUCCAUGCGGGGGCGGGGGGGCGGGGUGUCCCAGUGGCUGCAGCGUGGCUCCCUGGGGCUCUGGCCUCCUCUCAGCCCAGCAGGCCACAGGGCCUGCCUGCACCACGACACUUGCUGGUUUUAUGGCAGGAGGCAGAAGCCUUGGAAGCGACUGGAAAGCAGAGCAUAGCAGACUUCACAGUAGUAGAUACUGGUGACACUUCAUGGCUGUGACCCAGAAUGAACUUGACGCACACAGGACGCAGGGUGUCACUGGUCCUGGGCCUCUGUCCAUGACCAGGUGGUCAGCAGCACUUCUGCAGCUGACUAUGCAAUGGCUAAAUGAAUAAAAAGGCCACAAACUAACCUCCACUUUCCUCUGUCUUCAAAAUUCUAGUGACACUGGGAAUGCUAGACGACCUCUUACUAUUCUGCUAAGGUCCUAGGGUUUCAGGAACUAGGGAAAGACUGGGUACUGAGGCUGUGUCCCCAGCUGUCUGCUUCCAAAGCAGCCGUAUUACAACGGGUUUCUGCUGAGGAAGUGGCGUUAGCAGGGCCCCACACGCCUUCUCGGGCUGUCAGGGGUGGGAGAGGGACUGUGUGGGGUCCUUCAUGUGCAGACGGGACGUGUCGCCUCACAGCUGUGCAGACGAACGGAUCUGGUCUACUGCCACGAACAAUGCGGCAUAAAACUGAUCAAUAUUAUAAUAAAGAUUUGUCUUCAUCUCC